GAAGAUAAGCAUCUGAUCUUUAAAUCACAACUUUUGCAGGUGAAAGGUCUGCACGACCACUUGGACGCCCGUUACAAGGCUCUCGACAAGCGGCUUGCAGCUCUGGAAGCCCAGAAAAGCGCCGACUCCUCUCCGUCUGUGGACGCGCCAUCGGGCUAG
rnacentral:rRNA from 1 species